AAAUGACUUUACUGUAAGGAAAAGCUGUGAGAAAAAGGCAAAGUCAAGUGAUUUCCUCUCUCUAGGCUGUUCUGCAUCUCAUUUUGUGCUUCCCCAAGAGAAGAAGAGGAAGAAAGCAGCAAAGAAAACACCAGAUUUGCAUUAAAAGGGAAAGUUUCAAUAA